UACGGAGGGUGCAAGCGUUAUCCGGAUUCACUGGGUUUAAAGGGUGCGUAGGUGGGCAGUUAAGUCAGUGGUGAAAUCUCCGGGCUCAACCCCGGAAACUGCCAUUGAUACUAUCUGUCUUGAAUAUUGUGGAGGUGAGCGGAAUAUGUCAUGUAGCGGUGAAAUGCUUAGAUAUGACAUAGAACACCAAUUGCGAAGGCAGCUCACUACUCAAUCAUUGACUCUGAGGCACGAAAGCGUGGGGAUCAAACAGG
rnacentral:rRNA from 1 species